rnacentral:rRNA from 1 species
AUUAGCUGGUUGGUGAGGUAACGGCCCACCAAGGCGACGAUCAGUAGCCGACCUGAGAGGGUGGCCGGCCACAUUGGGACUGAGACACGGCCCAAACUCCUACGGGAGGCAGCAGUGAGGAAUAUUGGUCAAUGGACGCAAGUCUGAACCAGCCAAGUAGCGUGCAGGAUGACGGCCCUCCGGGUUGUAAACUGCUUUUAGUUGGGAAUAAAAGGGGGCUCGUGAGCCCCGUAUUGUAUGUACCAUCAGAAAAAGGACCGGCUAAUUCCGUGCCAGCAGCCGCGGUAAUACGGAAGGUCCGGGCGUUAUCCGGAUUUAUUGGGUUUAAAGGGUGCGCAGGCGGAAGAUCAAGUCAGCGGUAAAAUUGAGAGGCUCAACCUCUUCGAGCCGUUGAAACUGGUUUUCUUGAGUGAGCGAGAAGUAUGCGGAAUGCGUGGUGUAGCGGUGAAAUGCAUAGAUAUCACGCAGAACUCCGAUUGCGAAGGCAGCAUACCGGCGCUCAACUGACGCUCAUGCACGAAAGUGUGGGUAUCGAACAGGAUUAGAUACCCUGGUAGUCCACACAGUAAACGAUGAAUACUAAUUGUU